rnacentral:rRNA from 1 species
GGAGACGUGGUGCCAGCAGCAGCGAUGAUACGAAGGGGUAUAUGUUUGCGCGGAGGUACUCGGCGUCAAGCGCACGUAGGCGGCUGGCUAAGUCAAGGGUGAAAUCCUGGAUCUCAACGCCAGAACUGCCUUUGAUACUGGAGAGCUCGAGUCCGGAAGAGGAGAGUGGAACGGCGAGUGUAGAGGUGAAAUUCGUAGAUAUUCGCAAGAACACCAGUGGCGAAGGCGGCUCACUGGUCCGGUACUGACGCUGAGGUGCGAAAGCGUGGGGAGCAAACAGGAUUAGAUACCCGAGUAGUC